UACGAAGGGGGCUAGCGUUGUUCGGAAUCACUGGGCGUAAAGGGCGCGUAGGCGGCUUUGUAAGUCGGGGGUGAAAGCCUGUGGCUCAACCACAGAAUUGCCUUCGAUACUGCAUGGCUUGAGACCGGAAGAGGUAAGUGGAACUGCGAGUGUAGAGGUGAAAUUGUAGAUAUUCGCAAGAACACCAGUGGCGAAGGCGGCUUACUGGUCCGGUUCUGACGCUGAGGCGCGAAAAGCGUGGGGAGCAAACAGGG
rnacentral:rRNA from 1 species